rnacentral:rRNA from 1 species
UCCUGCCAGUAGCAUAUGCUUGUCUCAAAGAUUAAGCCAUGCAUGUCUAAGUACAAGCCUAACUAAGGUGAAACCGCGAAUGGCUCAUUAAAUCACACCUAAUCUACUGGAAUGUUAGCAGUUACUUGGAUAACUGAGGUAAUUCUUGAGCUAAUACAUGCGAAAAAUCUCGACUCACGGAGAGAUGCUUUUAUUAGAACAAAACCAAACGGCUUCGGCCGUAACACUGGUGACUCUGAAUAACUUUGGGCUGAUCGCAUUGCCUUGUGCAGGCGACAUUUCCUUCGAAGGUGUGCCCUAUCAAA